CUUUCCUUGCCACUGUUUAGCUCUACUGUGGUUUUCUGCAGGCGAUUGGUUGAGGUCCCACUCAUCAGACUCUUCUCUACCGGCUCCAACCAAGUCCCCUUUUGCUCCACAUGACCUUUUUUUCUCUUUCUUUCAUUCUUUCUUUCGUGCCUUGGUCUUCAGACUCUUCACUGGAAAGCUCCACCAACCCCAACCACUCCAGCCAUCCUCUCCCCUUUGUUUCUCCAUUUCCUUUUUUAAUCAAUCAAUCAUCUAUGCCUUUUGCUAGAAGCGAUGGACUUGAGAUGACCACUCAGUCCUAUCCAUUCUUUAGCCUUUCUCUGUCAUACAUUACCCAUUGUGCAUUCCCGAAGUUGUGGUCAAUAUGAGAUAUGUGAAGAGAUCCCCAUCAAAUUCAACUUUCCUAUUCUCUUCUCUUCUUCCAUCUCCCUUUUGUUACGGGAGAAUAGAUGGUGAAAAAAUCAGUUGAGCAGAAAAAAAUGUUUUGAUUAAAAUAAAAUAAAGGAAAGAGGAAAAAGUGUUGAUUCUUCUAAUUCCUCCACUUUCUUAUGCCCGAGUUCUUUUGUACAUUUUUUUGCUUUCUAAAGAAACCGUGUUGUGGGUUUUUUUUGUUUUUUCCCAAUAGAGCGAGGGAUCAAUGAUAAAGGAGCCAUCUUUUUCAGGUGCUGGCUAAUAUGAGGAGAGAAUGUGGGCUGAAUAAUGUGACAUGCAAAGUGCUGGGACUUACAUGGCGUGUUUGGGAUGAACAGAUAUUCACCGUGUGCCCAAAUAUUAUCCUUGGAGCUGAUGUCCUAUAUGAAACAAGUAGUAGUGGGCAUCACCUGAUUGAGUUCUUGAUGGUUAAAUGGGGAUUGAAGUGCAUGAAGCUUCUAGAUGGGUUUUCAUUCAUGCCAGCUGACAAGGCAUCUGGAUUAAGUGGGAAUACACAGUUGGUAGACAUAUUUUGGGAUAAUAACAAACUAAGUUAGCAUAUGGUCGUGAUGCUUAUUGAGAAAAAUGAGAAAUGGUUGCAAUGUGCUUGGUGAAAGCCUUAAAAAAGAGGCCAACUGCAGAGAAACUGUUGAAACAUUCCUUUUUCAAGAAUGCAAAGCCUCCAGAGCUUUCUGUGAAAAAACCCUCUACUGACAUACCUCCGUUGUGGAAUCGUGUCAAGGCAAAUUUGAGUCUUAAGGAUGCCGCAGAACUAGCUUUGAAGAAAAUGCCUUCAGCUGAAUAGGAAGCAUUGUCACAGGUCUGGGGCAUCAGAAGAAUUUACUGGCUGUUUGAUCUUUUUCAUUCUGAGUUGUCAAAGCUCUUUUACUCUUUGAAAGGGAUUUCUACAUUUAAAACAGUGUUAUUUUUUCAGGCAAAAAUAACAAAAGAUGCAAAUAUUUAACUGCUGACCUCCUAUUUUCUUAACAUCUUUUUUCUGUCUUCUUUUUUUCCUUUUAGGUUUCUUAUUAGUUUGCUUUCAUGUGUUGUAGGUGCAAGUUUGGAGAUUUUGUCUUGGAUCACUAACUUUGCAUCAUUUUUUUUCGUUUUUAUUGUUUAGUUCUAUGUUUAGCUUCUUUGUUACAUGUGUUGUGCUGCUUUGGUUUCUUGCUCUUCACAUUAUCCUCAGCAUCCUCUUGCCUACUGCUACUGUUCCUUCAAAAAACAGGUAUUCGUUCUUUACCUCCUUUUUUUUUCUUCUUAUUUUUCCUCCAGUGACAUGUUAUAGCUGUGAUAGUUGAUGUGAAACAUUUUUUCUGAUUCUCUUUUAUCCUGCAUGCUACUUCACGUUUAUCCUACAGGGUGGUUUACAUGUCUUGCAUUUCAUUUUUUUCCUGCUUCCUAAGAUUUGAUGGAACUAUAUAUAUGGGCAAACAUAGAGAAUGGAAAGAAAUGAACUUUAUCUGUGAUGCCUUCUUCAGAUGAAGAUGCGUCAGAAAAAUUCUGAAUUGAGAAGACAUGACUAUAGAGUUCCAGUUUAAAUGAUAAAAUUAGUGAAAUUGAUUCAUGUAUACAACAAGGGAAUAUGCUUAUUAUACACUAAGGGAAAAGUUGUUUUAAAUCUUGAUUCAGUCCACAAUAAGGGAAAGCUGCAGACAGUAAGCAAAAUAGGUUUAAAGUUCGUCCUCAAUUUUGUUUUGAACUUGGUAUAUUUUUUUUCCCCAUAUGUUUUUUACCUCAAGUAUACAUAAUUUGAUUUUAGUGAACUCUAGACAAAGAUUAAUACGGCACAAGUAUCAUCAUCGAUGAACCAAAUUUUGUUCAAAACUUACCUGAAGGUGUGUGCUUCUAUCAAGUAGUUACCAAACAAAACAACUAUAAAUUUGUAAGUUUGGGGUAUUUUUCAUUUCAUUCUUACCAUUCAUAUUAUAUCACGUUCAUAAUUUUCUCUAAACAACAACAGAAAGUUCCAAGAUUUGUUGGAUACUUCAUACAUAGUGACCUGACGCCUUCAAUUACUUCGAGAACUGGAAGGAAAACAAUGACAAUUGCAAUGCGUGAGAGGCAGUUUGCAGAUAGCUGGGAUAUCUUUCUGAUUGAGCAUCAAUUGUAGCCUGGAGAAACAUUAGUCUCUGUUCGUGAUAAAAGAAGUUCCACCUACACUUUCCUCACCUUUGAUAAGGAUGGUGUAGAUGGUCAAUUCCCAUGGUAUAACAUGUUCUAACUGUACUCCAUAAUAGGAAUACAACAACUUUGAUGUAUCUAAGUAAAUAUCUUCCUCGGAUUGUGUUUGUUAUUCUUUACCAAUUGAUAUAAGCAUUGCAUUUUCGAUGUAUUUGUUUGUUUCUUUUCAAUGUACUCUACGAGGCUUGC